rnacentral:rRNA from 1 species
AUUAGUCAAUGCUCGAAAGAGUGAACUAGCUAACUGAAAUCACAUGACUCAUUCUUAUAGGUGGUGAUUGUGAUAAGGUGUAGGGAAAAAAAUGAUAUUACCUCACUAAAAGUGUUGUCCAAAUCUGGUGCCAGAAGACUCGGUAAGGCCAGAAACGCAAACGUUAGUCAUCUUAAUCAGGCGUAAAGGGUAUGUAGGCAGCUUUAAAGUUUUAUUUUCUCAUCUCCCUCCUCCCACCUAACAGCAUGCUGACCCAUCUCCCACCUUUUGGUGCUUUCAUCAAUGAUGGGAUGAUUGGUGCUUGGUGCUUGGUGAAUGAUGGAAGAUAGCUCUUUUUUUUAAUUAAAUAGUAAAAAUAGUAAAAAUAAAAUUAAUUAAAGCUAGAAUCAAAUAGAGGAAAAACCAAAUAAUACUUAGAGUAGGGAUGAUAUCCAUAGAUACUAAGGGGAAUACUAAGGGCGAAAGCUUUUUUUCUACUAAUGAUUGACGCUGAGAAACGAAGGUGAGAAUAGGAAAUAGGAUUAGAUACCCAGAUACCUCUCACUGUCAACGAUGAAUGGUGGUUGUUAGUUUUAAUAAAAACUGGUGACGAUGUUAACACGAUAACCAUUCCGCCUUGCGAGUACGGUUGCAAAACUGAAANCAAAAAAAUUAGUCGGUCUCGAAGCAAACGAAGUGAAGCAUGUUAUUUAAUUCGAUAA